rnacentral:ncRNA from 1 species
CCACGCACAGGCAAACCUGCCGAAAGGCAGCGACGCGAAGCUAAAGGGCCUAACGAGAAUUGAUUCUCUAUGGUUGCCAGCUGCCGAAA